rnacentral:rRNA from 1 species
AAACUUUCAACAACGGAUCUCUUGGUUCUGGCAUCGAUGAAGAACGCAGCGAAAUGCGAUAAGUAAUGUGAAUUGCAGAAUUCAGUGAAUCAUCGAAUCUUUGAACGCACAUUGCGCUCCCUGGUAUUCCGGGGGGCAUGCCUGUUCGAGCGUCAUU